rnacentral:rRNA from 1 species
GACGAACGCUGGCGGCGUGCUUAACACAUGCAAGUCGAACGGAAAGGCCCUGCUUUUGUGGGGUGCUCGAGUGGCGAACGGGUGAGUAACACGUGAGUAACCUGCCCUUGACUUUGGGAUAACUUCAGGAAACUGGGGCUAAUACCGGAUAGGAGCUCCUGCUGCAUGGUGGGGGUUGGAAAGUUUCGGCGGUUGGGGAUGGACUCGCGGCUUAUCAGCUUGUUGGUGGGGUAGUGGCUUACCAAGGCUUUGACGGGUAGCCGGCCUGAGAGGGUGACCGGCCACAUUGGGACUGCGAUACGGCCCAGACGCCUACGGGAGGCAGCAGUGGGGAAUAUUGCACAAUGGGCGGAAGCCUGAUGCAGCAACGCCGCGUGCGGGAUGACGGCCUUCAGGUUGUAAACCGCUUUCGCCUGUGACGAAGCGUGAGUGACGGUAAUGGGUAAAGAAGCACCGGCUAACUACGUG